rnacentral:misc_RNA from 1 species
AUACAAGUCUGCACUACUACUCAGAGACAUCGUCACGAAAAGUUUGCGACAGCAUUUGAAGGAUUAUAUCAGCAAGAUUACUAUUACACUGCUUUCAACCACACCAUCAAUGCUUCAUCCUCCUGUGAAAGCCCGCAGUGCUCGGCCUGUUAAUCGCAAACAGCUCGGAAAGGUGUCCAAAUCUGGGAACAGCAUCGCAAAGACUCCAAAUGCAGUUAAAAAACCAAGUAAUGUUCAUUCUCUUCCUUCAGCAGAGUCUGUAACCAUGACAAAGAAAGGAUCCGGCCGGCCACGAAAAGCUGGGCAUGGGAGCACCACCCAACCACCUGAAAAUCCACCCAAGGGAAGAAAGAGAACUCGAGCUAGGUGAGUAUGUUUGUAUAUCGUUCUUGUUCUUCUGUUAACAUUGAGCUAGGUCACCACGUUUGUAUAUUGUUCUUGUUCUUCUGUCAAUAUUUUGCAACCCUCCUCUAGUCGUAGCUUCUCAAUGUAACAAAUAUUGUAGGAUGUUUGCAUGUACACAAUCGUCAGAAAGUGACNGACGAAGCUAACUGUUGUCUAAAUAUCACUGUAACAGUCGCAUCAAUUACCGAUAAUCAACCCUUUUCUU